ACGAAGACAGAGCCUUGUCUGAUUCCCCUCGCGGCGCCAUUCUGAAGUCCGGUUAUUAGGGCUAUAGUCCCUGCAGAGCAGCCUAUCAGUACAGGCGGGAAAAGAAAUAAGCCGCCCACCAGGGACACAGACACAAAACGCUACAGCGCGGGGCCGUUGGCGCUAAAAGCCACGUGACGUCCCCUUGUUCUCUCACCAGAAACCGUUACUGACGGACCUACACAUCUGUCGACGGUGCUAGAUCCUGUAAAGCUGAACGGCUUGCCAUUGAAAAGAGGAUCUCCUGGCCUACAAGAAGAGCAGUACAGGCGUCAGGAUCAACGGGAGCGCCAGAAGCGGCAAGCCGGAUACGAGGCUGGAAUAUGCUCCAAUUCUCCACCAGGGGCGCCACUAGCUGCUGGAUCUGAACGUGUCCUUCUCCCGUAACCUGAAAAGGCCAAAUACAAAAACUAUACCAAUCAC